rnacentral:rRNA from 1 species
GAUGAACGCUGGCGGCGUGCCUAAUACAUGCAAGUCGAGCGAACAGACGAGGAGCUUGCUCCUCUGACGUUAGCGGCGGACGGGUGAGUAACACGUGGAUAACCUACCUAUAAGACUGGGACAACUUCGGGAAACCGGAGCUAAUACCGGAUAAUAUAUUGAACCGCAUGGUUCAAUAGUGAAAGACGGUUUUGCUGUCACUUAUAGAUGGAUCCGCGCCGCAUUAGCUAGUUGGUAAGGUAACGGCUUACCAAGGCAACGAUGCGUAGCCGACCUGAGAGGGUGAUCGGCCAAACUGGAACUGAGACACGGUCCAGACUCCUACGGGAGGCAGCAGUAGGGAAUCUUCCGCAAUGGGCGAAAGCUUGACGGAGCAACGCCGCGUGAGUGAUGAAGGUCUUCGGAUCGUAAAACUCUGUUAUUAGGGAAGAACAAAUGUGUAAGUAACUAUGCACGUCUUGACGGUACCUAAACAGAAAGCCACGGCUAAAUACGUG